AAUAAAUACAGUUUUAACACGGUUCAUACUUAACGUUUCAUCGUUCGUCUUAUUUAAAAAAUAAUUAUGAUUAGUAUUAUUAUUAUUAGAUGAUAAUGUAUGAAUAGUACUUUAUGUGUGACUAAUAUUUUUAAUUUUUUUCAUAAAAUUUUUAAAUAAGACGGACGGUCAAAAUGCUGAACAUAUAUCUAUGGCUGUAUUUAUU
rfam:Oryza glumipatula chromosome 1, whole genome shotgun sequence.